AACACUUUUCUGUGUUCCUCAGGUGCCGUUAUCAUUCAAACCUGAGACUUCCUCUGAUGUAUCCGCAUCCCUACAGCCAAAUCACCGUGGAAACUGAGUUUGACAACCCCCUCUACGAGACUGGAGGGGACACAAGAGAAUAUGAGGUGUCCAUAUGAAGAGGUCCACAGACACGUCCCGUAUUGCUCCAGCUCUUAGAGGAACUGAUGUAAAUAUAUCCUGACAAUUCCACUCUCCCCACCUCCCCAACCUCCAGAGGAAAGGGCGCUCGUCAGCUGAGAGAGAGGGGCGUGAAGGGAAAGGGUCUGUGAAACAGGAAGUAUCAGUGCAGAGAUUGUUCGGCCUGUAGACGUUACUGUGGUUUUACGACAUGUGACUCAACACGUAUGCACUCACAGACGGAGACUCUCAUUCUGCCAUUCACAAAUGUGUGUGUGUGUGUGUGUGUGUGUGAGACAUGACAAGUGAGUGGAAAAAAAACAACUGAUAGGUUUGCACAGUGUUCUUUCGCCUCAGUUCUGUAACGUAUGGGACAGUCUAAACCUGAGGUGCGUGCUCCGAUAUAAAGGGGUCGUGGUGGCGCCGUCCCGUGUCUGUCUGUCUGUGGCCCGUCCUGCCUGCUGUCAUUUUUAAGUCUUUGUACUUAGAGCAGUUUGUAGUGCAGGUUUUAAAGUAGUAUUUUUUCCCCCUGCAAGUGACGUCCUACUGCAGCAGAGACCAGAUGAUGUAUUUAUUUAUAUAUAAGUAUAUGUGAAAUGUUCUCUGCUGUUUAAUGAAUACUUCAUUUUUGGAGAUCAAGAAAAAAAUGUAACUGAUUUCUCUAAAGAAAUGUGAAAAAUAAAUUCAUUUAAAUCUUUUUUUAA